CUAGCGGCGCGCUUAAUGCAUGCAGUCGAGCGAUGAGGCUCCUUCGGGGGUACAUCAGCGGCAGACGGGUGAGUAACACGUAGGCGAACUACCCUCGAGACGGGGAUAACGGCUGGAAACAGUCGCUAAUACCCGAUAGACUUACCAGGUCAAAGCGGUAAGAAAAGCUACGGUGCUUGAGGAGGGGCCUGCGGCCCAUCAGCUAGUUGGUAGGGUAACGGCCUACCAAGGCGAAGACGGGUAGGGGGUGUGAGAGCACGAGCNCCCACAAUGGGACUGCGACACGGCCCAUACUCCUACGGGAGGCAGCAGCAGGGAAUAUUGCACAAUGGACGGAAGUCUGAUGCAGCGACGCCGCGUGAGUGAAGACGGCCUUCGGGUUGUAAAGCUCUUUUACGGGGGACGAGGACGGACGGUACCCUGGGCAAGAAGUGUCGGCUAACUACGUGCCAGCAGCCGCGGUAAGACGUAGGACACAAGCGUUAUCCGGAGUUACUGGGCGUAAAGCGCCUGCACGCGGCCUGGUAAGUUGGACGUGAAAGCCCCGUGCUUAACGCGGGGAGGUCGGACAAUACUGCCAAAGCUAGAGUGCGUCAGAGGGGAGUGGAAUUUCCGGAGUAGCGGUAAAAUGCGCAGAUAUCGGAAGGAACACCAGUGGCGAAAGCGACUCCCUGGGGCGCGACUGACGCUAAGAGGCGAAAGCUAGGGGAGCGAACAGGAUUAGAGACCCUGGUAGUCCUAGCCCUAAACGAUGGAUGCUAGGUGUGGGACGUAAAGUUCCGUGCCGGAGCCAACGCGAUAAGCAUCCCGCCUGGGGACUACGGUCGCAAGGCUAAAACUCAAACGAAUUGACGGGGACCCGCACAAGCAGCGGAGCGUGUGGUUCAAUUCGAUGCUACACGAAGAACCUUACCUGGGUUUGACAUGUACGUGGUAGAGAAGCGAAAGCGGAUUGACCCUUCGGGGAGCGUACACAGGUGCUGCAUGGCUGUCGUCAGCUCGUGCCGUGAGGUGUCGGGUUAAGUCCCGUAACGAGCGCAACCCUUAUCCUUAGUUGCACGUAUCUAGGGAGACUGCCGGCGGGAAGCCGGAGGAAGGUGGGGAUGACGUCAAGUCAGCAUGGCCCUUAUGUCCAGGGCUACACACACGCUACAAUGGCCGGUACAAAGGGCAGCAAAGUCGCGAGGCGGAGCGAAUCCCAACAAAGCCGGUCGUAGUUCGGAUUGCAGGCUGCAACUCGCCUGCAUGAAGCUGGAGUUGCUAGUAACCGCGCGUCAGCUAUAGUGCGGUGAAUACGUACCCGGGUCUUGUACACACCGCCCGUCACGUCAUGGAAGUCGGU
rnacentral:rRNA from 1 species